UUCCUAAAACUGAGUUAGGUGGAUGU
rnacentral:piRNA from 1 species